AAGAAAAAGAAAAGAAACUCCUUGUUAAAAUUACUUGGCAUUAUUGUUCUCCAUUAUUUAAAUGGGUUUCUCAGCUCCAAGUUCAAAAAAAAAGCCAGUUCUAGCCUCAGAGGGACCCUGUACUGUUGGCUGAGCAAAACCAUUCAAACCCCUCUUUGCUUUUAUUUAUGCAGAUGGCAAGGAUAUUGCUGUUGGCUCAUAGGAUGUGAACAGUGGUGUUGAGAUUACCCUCAUUUGGCUGAUGAUGUCAUUGAGGCCCAGAGAAGGUAGGACACCUGGCAGGGCCUGGCUUUGGGGCUAACUUCUGCAGCUCUUUUGAUUGCCCCCACCUUACAGUUUUCGGCACAGAGCACUGUGUAGCUGGCACUUCUCUACUGGCCCAAAUGAGAAAACUUCCUCAGAGCAAAAUGUCAAGCACCAAAUAAGAUUCAUGUUUACUGUGAAGUGAUUGCUGCUUUUUAAAUGCUUAUCAGAAGCCGAAGGACAAACUCAGUAGGUUGAUUCAUGCUGAGCUCGACUACCUCCAUGAGAAAUGACUCUCCUGUAGGGCUCGAUGACCUUCAUGUCAAUGCGCUGCUCUUGUUCUCCAAUCACCACUGUCCUCCAAAGCCGGUUGUCCUCCCGUUCCUCUUCGGCCGUAUAUUCUGGAAUAGACUCUGACUCUUGGCCAGAAUCUUUGUUGGCUGUGGGAUCUUCUGGAAACAAAGCACAGAGCAGGGCUGAAGGAGCAAGACCUCCACAGUGCAGCUAAACAGCCAAAUGUGUCUACUAUGUGCCGAGGAUAUAGAGGAACAAAACAGACCCGUCUCAUUCUCGUGGUGGAGUUGGGAUGAUGGAGCUAAUACAAUGACCCCUACCUUCGAGAACUCAGUGCUGCUCCCCUGGAUAGAGAUCCGCUACAUCCUACCUUCUCUGUGACGACUUUGAAAAGUGUCCAUGAAUUCUCUGACACUCUUUUCAAAAGGUGGAGCCUAAUUUCCCGUCCCUUAAGUGUGGACUGAUGAUUUGCUUCUAAAGAACAGAAUAAGGUGGAAUGGAUGGUAGGUGAGUUCUAAGGCUAGGUCCUAAAAAGCACUGUGUGCUUUGUUCUCUCUUGGGUCUCUCAGUUUGGGAGAAACCAGCUACCCUGUUGUAAGGACAGUC